CUCCGCCGCUUCCUUCUGUCUUUCAUAUUUUGGUUGGAAACCUAAAUGCAGAAGCUCAUCUCUCACACAGUACGAAGAGAUCCAACAAAUGCAUGCAUCAAAAAUCAAUGACGGCUUCUGAUCAAAUAACGAUUUUAUCUUUCACAGCAAAAACAUUACAUAAUCAUCAGAAAAUGAGUAGUUCAAUUAAACAUCGUGAAAAAUCGAUGUGAAAGUUGAAGAUCCCAUUGUAACUUUGAUGAGGUAGAUGAAGAUUUAGAUAUCUUCCCCAGCAAGCAAACAUGGGAACCCUGCAGAAAACAUAGUCAAAAUUGAAAGAAGUCACACUGUAAGGAAAGAAAAGAUCCAAAUACAAGUAUGUUAUCUCAAUGCAUAAAAAAUCAAGGGACGCUGAUGCUAAUCAAAUGAACAUUAUAUUUCAAAGCAAAAACAUUACAGUGUCAUCAGGUUAGUAUGUAAAAACUACUGUAUGUGUUAAAAUUUUGAUCUUGAAAUUUGAUGUGAAAGAUGAGUACUGUGAUACCUUAUAAGUGUGGGUAAUGGGAUAAUGUUGAAAAAGAUUUUAUUAGUUUGAGGUUACAUUUUUUAUUUUAUUGUUAACAAUAGGUUAUAGUAAUAUUUAACAACUGUAAAUACGUAAAUACAUAAUGGAGAAACAAGUGAGUAAUAGUUUGUUCAUUGUUGUGAUUAUCUACAUUUAUCUUUGUUUCUUAUGCUAAUGUAAUGCUAAUUAAUUUUC